rnacentral:rRNA from 1 species
UACGUAGGUGGCAAGCGUUAUCCGGAUUUAUUGGGUGUAAAGGGCGUGUAGGCGGGAAUGCAAGUCAGAUGUGAAAACUCAGGGCUCAACCCUGAGCCUGCAUUUGAAACUGUAUUUCUUGAGUGCUGGAGAGGCAAUCGGAAUUCCGUGUGUAGCGGUGAAAUGCGUAGAUAUACGGAGGAACACCAGUGGCGAAGGCGGAUUGCUGGACAGUAACUGACGCUGAGGCGCGAAAGCGUGGGGAGCAAACAGG